CAGGAGACACAAGAGACACUGGUUUAAUCCCUGGGUCAGGAAGAUCCCCUGUAGGAGGAUAAGGCAACCCUCCUCCAGGAUCCUUGCCUGGAGAAUGCCAUGCACAGAGGUGGCCAUAGGGUCACAAAGCAGCGGACAUGAAUGAAGUGACUUCGCACACACGAGUCACUCUGCUGUGCACCCGAAACCAUCACAACACUGUUAACCGGCUAUCCGCCAAUAUAAAAUAAAAAGCCUAAAAUAUCUUUGAAGGAGAUGUAGCUGCUCCCACUUCACAGAUGAGGAAAGGGAGACCCAAAGAGAGAAUGGAGUUAUUGAGUAGCAAAAGUGGGCAGCUAGUUAAGAUUCCUGCUUCUCAAUUCAGGUCUCUUCCUAACCCUAUCCCUUUCUGUUUUUGAACCUGGGCUAUCAUAUUGUCUGUCAUGGGAAGAGACAUCACAGUGGGGUCAACAGAUGAUGUGUGAAGUUACCCACUGCCACAAAAGGAAGCUCGCUUGCAGACAAUGUUUAUCAAAGGCUGGGAGACAUUGUGAUUGAUAAAAAUAAUGAAGAUGACGGUAAUAAUGAAGGAUAGGGGCAGAGUGUUGACUUAGAAGGUCACAGUUCUGGUGCGAGCAAGCCAGGGAGCCAUUGUUGGUCCUGCUGAACUUGGGCAGAAGGCCUCCCUGACAGCAGGCUAAGCACAACAAGCAGAUGCCUGCAGCCCCACAGAAGACGUCACCCACGAUUGUUUCCAAUCAUGCGGACACAGCCCAAGUUGCCAAGUACGGUGGUUCCUGUUCCCUGCAAUCCAGCGAGGAGCCCAGCUGACUCACCACAUGCCACCAGCCAUGAGACCGGGCUUCAUCACAUCCGCCUCUGGGUGCAGAACACUCUGCUGCAGACAUGGAAAUAACAGAUGCUGGGAGACAGACACACAGACAUGCACACCAUAUCAGAUUAGGUUGCUUGGAUGAAAGUUACCUGUUCAAAACACACCCACUGCCUUCACAGAGGUUAUAUACGGUGCCCUCGGUGCCCUUGAUCCCUGGGCUGGGAAGAUCCCCUCGAGGAGGAAAUGGCAACACACGCCAAUAUUCUUGCCAGAAACAUUCCCAUGGGCAGAGGAGCCUGCUGGGCUCCAUCCCCUGGGGUUGCACGGAGUCCUCUGUAAUCCACGUCUGACUCCUUGCUUUCCCACUAAGGAAGCAAACCGAAAGGCCAGUAAAAGGACAUUAUGAUAAGCACUCUUUUAAAUCUUCUCUAUUUCACAAAUAAAAC
rnacentral:lncRNA from 1 species